UAACACGCUUGGAGGUCACGCGUAUUCUUGGGGAAUUAACACAUAUGUGAGAUGUUAUUGCUUGAGAAUACACGUAGCUGACAAGGAGUA